CUGGAGGAGUCCGGAUGGUACUGUGGAAGCUCAGACGGUCGGGAGAGUUUAGAAAGAUGCUGCACAAGAUCGGAAGCCGAAAGAGUCCUGGGAGGGUUGGCCUCUUACGAACUUUGGCUGGGGUUAUUUUAUACCCAACACUAGUCUCCCUACUUCUGAGUUCGGAUUUCGAAUGAAGGAAGAAUAGAGAAAUUUUCACAGCCAAAGUUGCCCCCCUUGAUUUAAAAAUUCAGCUGAUCUAUAAGCAGCAGGCAGUCAAGGAUGUAGAAGCAGAGUCUGAAGUUU
rnacentral:lncRNA from 1 species